rnacentral:piRNA from 1 species
UGGGAUUGGUGAGAAGAACUUGCAAGG